rnacentral:rRNA from 1 species
ACGGGAGGCAGCAGUGAGGAAUAUUGGUCAAUGGACGAGAGUCUGAACCAGCCAUGUCGCGUGAAGGAUGAAUGUUUUAUGAAUUGUAAACUUCUUUUAUAGGGGGAUAAAGUGAGUCUCGUGAGGCUUUUUGCAUGUACCCUAUGAAUAAGCAUCGGCUAACUCCGUGCCAGCAGCCGCGGUAAUACGGAGGAUGCGAGCGUUAUCCGGAUUUAUUGGGUUUAAAGGGUGCGUAGGCGGAUUAUUAAGUCAGUGGUGAAAGUUUGCGGCUCAACCGUAAAAUUGCCAUUGAAACUGAUAGUCUUGAGUGCGGUAGAGGUAGGCGGAAUGUGUAGUGUAGCGGUGAAAUGCUUAGAUAUUACACAGAACACCAAUUGCGAAGGCAGCUUACUGGAGCGCAACUGACGCUGAGGCACGAUAGCGUGGGGAUCGAACAGGAUUAGAUACCCUGGUA